rnacentral:rRNA from 1 species
CCAGCAAUGGGAUGCGAAUCUCGAAAGCCUGUCUCAGUCCGGAUUGGAGGCUGAAACCCGCCUCCAUGAAGUUGGAUUCGCUAGUAAUCGCGCAUCAGCCAUGGCGCGGUGAAUACGUUCCCGGGCCUUGUACACACCGCCCGUCAAGCCAUGGGAGCCGGGGGUGCCUGAAGUUCGUGACCGCAAGGAGCGACCUAGGGCAAAACUGGUGACUGGGGCUAAGUCGUAACAAGGUACC